rnacentral:rRNA from 1 species
UAAUACGUAGGUGGCGAGCGUUGUCCGGAUUUAUUGGGCGUAAAGCGCCCGCAGGCGGCUUGGUAAGUUUGGGGUGAAAUCUCCCGGCUCAACUGGGAGGGUGCCUCGAAAACUGUCAGGCUUGAGGCAUGGAGAGGGAUGCGGAAUUCCCGGUGUAGUGGUGAAAUGCGUAGAUAUCGGGGAGGAACACCAGUGGCGAAGGCGGCAUCCUGGCCAUGUCCUGACGCUCAGGGGCGAAAGCGUGGGGAGCAAACCGGAUUAGAUACCCGGGUAGUCCACGCCGUAAACGAUGAAUACUAGGUGUGGGGUGUAUCGACCCCCUCUGUGCCGAAGCUAACGCGAUAAGUAUUCCGCCUGGGGACUACGGCCGCAAGGCUAAAACUCAAAGGAAUUGACGGGGGCCCGCACAAGCAGCGGAGCGUGUGGUUUAAUUCGAUGAUACGCGAAAAACCUCACCCAGGUUUGACAUGCAUGUGGUACUGAGGUGAAAGCCGAGGGACCCUUCGGGGAGCAUGCACAGGU